rnacentral:rRNA from 1 species
CCUACGGGCGGCUGCAGUGGGGAAUAUUGCACAAUGGGCGCAAGCCUGAUGCAGCCAUGCCGCGUGUGUGAAGAAGGCCUUCGGGUUGUAAAGCACUUUCAGCGGGGAGGAAGGCGUUAAGGUUAAUAACCUUGUCGAUUGACGUUACCCGCAGAAGAAGCACCGGCUAACUCCGUGCCAGCAGCCGCGGUAGUACGGAGGGUGCAAGCGUUAAUCGGAAUUACUGGGCGUAAAGCGCACGCAGGCGGUCUGUCAAGUCGGAUGUGAAAUCCCCGGGCUCAACCUGGGAACUGCAUUCGAAACUGGCAGGCUAGAGUCUUGUAGAGGGGGGUAGAAUUCCAGGUGUAGCGGUGAAAUGCGUAGAGAUCUGGAGGAAUACCGGUGGCGAAGGCGGCCCCCUGGACAAAGACUGACGCUCAGGUGCGAAAGCGUGGGGAGCAAACAGGAUUAGAUACCCGAGUAGUC